rnacentral:rRNA from 1 species
CUCAGGACGAACGCUGGCGGCGUGCUUAACACAUGCAAGUCGAGCGGUAAGGCCCUUCGGGGUACACGAGCGGCGAACGGGUGAGUAACACGUGAGCAACCUGCCCCUGACUCCGGGAUAAGCGGUGGAAACGCCGUCUAAUACCGGAUACGACCCGCCACCUCAUGGUGGAGGGUGGAAAGUUUUUCGGUCAGGGAUGGGCUCGCGGCCUAUCAGCUUGUUGGUGGGGUAACGGCCUACCAAGGCGAUUACGGGUAGCCGGCCUGAGAGGGCGACCGGCCACACUGGGACUGAGACACGGCCCAGACUCCUGCGGGAGGCAGCAGUGGGGAAUAUUGCGCAAUGGGCGAAAGCCUGACGCAGCGACGCCGCGUGGGGGAUGACGGCCUUCGGGUUGUAAACCUCUUUUACCACCAACGCAGGCCCGGAGUUCUCUUCGGGUUGACGGUAGGUGGGGAAUAAGGACCGGCUAACUACGUGCCAGCAGCCGCGGUAAUACGUAGGGUCCGAGCGUUGUCCGGAAUUAUUGGGCGUAAAGAGCUCGUAGGCGGCGUGUCGCGUCUGCUGUGAAAGACCGGGGCUUAACUCCGGUUCUGCAGUGGAUACGGGCAUGCUAGAGGUAGGUAGGGGAGACUGGAAUUCCUGGUGUAGCGGUGAAAUGCGCAGAUAUCAGGAGGAACACCGGUGGCGAAGGCGGGUCUCUGGGCCUUACCUGACGCUGAGGAGCGAAAGCAUGGGGAGCGAACAGGAUUAGAUACCCUGGUAGUCCAUGCCGUAAACGUUGGGCGCUAGGUGUGGGGACUUUCCACGGUUUCCGCGCCGUAGCUAACGCAUUAAGCGCCCCGCCUGGNGAGUACGGCCGCAAGGCUAAAACUCAAAGGAAUUGACGGGGGCCCGCACAAGCGGCGGAGCAUG